rnacentral:rRNA from 1 species
GACGAACGCUGGCGGCAUGCCUAAUACAUGCAAGUCGAGCGAACAGAUGAAGUGCUUGCACUUCUGACGUUAGCGGCGAACGGGAGAGUAAAACGUAAGGAAUCUACCUAUAAGAGGGGGAUAACAUUCGGAAACGGGUGCUAAUACCGCAUAAUAUCUUCUUCCGCAUGGAAGAAGAUUGAAAGAAGGCUCUGCUGUCACUUAUAGAUGACCUUGCGGUGCAUUAGUUAGUUGGUGGGGUAACGGCCUACCAAGCCGAUGAUGCAUAGCCGACCUGAGAGGGUGAUCGGCCACAUUGGGACUGAGACACGGCCCAAACUCCUACGGGAGGCAGCAGUAGGGAAUCUUCCGCAAUGGGCGAAAGCCUGACGGAGCAAUGCCGCGUGAGUGAAGAAGGCCUUCGGGUCGUAAAACUCUGUUAUAAGAGAAGAACAAAUUGUAGAGUAACUGCUACAGUCUUGACGGUAUCUUAUCAGAAAGCCACGGCUAACUACGUGCCAGCCGCCGCCGUAU